CAACCCACUCCAGUAUUCUUGCCUGGAGAAUCCCAGGGACGGGGCAGCCUGAUGGGCUGCCGUCCAUGGGGUCGCACAGAGUCGGACACGACUGAAGCGACUUAGCAGCAGCAGCAGGGCCGUGUUAUAGUGAAUCCAAAUAAGUCAUUGACAUUUAAAAUUAAAUUGCAACAGGUAUUGUCAAUAGCUAAACUACUCAUUGACAGUGCGUUGCUAAUUACAUUGAGAGAACAUCCUAACUGGAUAUAUUUUGCCAAAUCAAACUGGAAACAUUGGCUCUCUACCAGAAAAUUCAUUUUGAGUUGCAGAGAGUUUGGGAAUUCACAGAUCGCUCACCAAUCUCAAAAUACUGGGUUUAGGGAAACUCUAACAGUGUUUUGCUGAGGUUUCUUGUAGCAGAGGGGAAUUCUGGUCUUUCCACUGCUAAGCCAGGAGGAGAAAGCUGUGACUUUGAAAGAUUGGGGGUCGGGUACAUCUCAGUGCAGGGAGGGUGGGGGGCAUUGUUGGGUUUCUCAUCUGUAUAUCUAAGCCACAUACUUUAGAUCAAGCUUUUUGUUUUCUUCUUUCGUAUCUUCCUCCUCCUCUUCCCUUUUUCUUUCCUUUCUCCAUCCUUCUCCUACCCUCUCCUCUGUAUGUGGACAGAGGAGGAGAAAGGAGGAGGGAGAGAGUGUGCACUAACUCACGAUGGGAGGUGCUAUUCCUAGUGCGCUUGCUAAGUUUCUUAAGGCUUGUUCCGACUCCGUGGACCUUAUGGACUGUAGCCUGCCAGGCGCCUCUGUCCAUGGGAUUCUCCAGACAAGAAUACUGGAGUGGGUUGCCAUGUCCUCCUCCAGGGGAUCUUCCUGACCCAGGGAUCGAACCCAGGUCUCUUACGUCUCCUGCAUUGGCAGGCGGGUUCUUUACCACUGCUGCCACCUGGGAAGCCUACUCCUGGUACUCGAUGUGGUUUAAUUCAUUUGAUUCCACAAUAACUCCAGGGGACAGUUAUGCUACAGAUAAAGAAACUGAGGCAGAAAGAGUAUAAAACAUUUGUUCAAAGUCACAUGGUUGGUCUGUUCUACUGAGAUCUCACAAGUAGUCUGCCCUGAGGCCAGUGGUUCCAUCUUCUGACUGAUACCGAUUGUACUCUGAGGGUGAACAUUUAAUUUAAGCCUCUGUGUCUCUGGACCUAGGACUUCCUUUGGGGCUCUUGCAAGUAGCAGUUUGGUUGGCAGGGCAAUUAAGUAUGCUGGGUGUGCUGUGCUGAACCCAGGAAGGGAGGGGAGGAAUCUAGUCUUUGCUUGUGUUAUACAUGCUUAUUGGUUUGUGGCAGGCGUGAUUGACACCAGAAUCAAAACGACUUAAAGCAGCUUCCCUGGAGAAGCACUACUCUAACGGUUUUUUUCCUCUUUGUUGCCCCAGGUCCCUUGUGAAUAGGAUUUAGCUGUGAUUCAGCUGCUGCUGUUCUUUUGGCAAAUGCCUCUUUCUGUAUGAACAGCCCACCUGCAUGUUGACACAGCCAGGUUCCUGAUGCGGGUGCACACGUCUGGGAUUUCAGAGCAUGACUGGCAUGGAAGAUCUCUGGCGUACAGUUUCUUGCACCCUACCUUGGGGACACACAGGAUAGUCCAGCAGAGCAGCUGAAAACAAAACAAUCACCCAAACCAGAUUCUACUGUUUCUAUUUUCCUGUUUUUUUAGGUGUUUAAUGGCUGCAUUAAAAAAAAAAAAUCCUCUACCUGUUUCUUCCAUUUAAACAAAUGUCAUGAAGAACAGUAAUAAACAUUUGAGUUGAAAGAAUUAGGUCUCUGAGGCUUUUGCUCUCAGACUUGUGCUAAUUCUUUAGUAUGUCCUUGAUGUAGUCUGUGUGGUCUCUUUUGAGAGCGUGUGGAUGAUGUGAUGAUGUGUAGAAUGGUGGCUGCUCUAUGUUCUGUGUGUGUGUGUGGUGGGUAUUUGGGGGAGGGUUGAACCUGCAGUUUGGAGGAUCAGAAAUAAAUAGGCAGCUUGGCUUCAAUCCCUCAGGGGCAUAACCAGCUAAUGAAUGAGAGGACUGCUAAAUUCCCAGUUGUCUUUGUGGCUCGGAAGACUUAAUAAUUAAGUCUGAGGCUACCUUUAGUGGGCUAGUGAGGUGAGAGCAAAAUCAACAGAAGACAUGUAGUUUAUAGCGACCUGAAAUGUGCAAGCGACAUGACUGGCUGUCUUUUUGGCCCUGGGGAGGUGUGGCUGGCCCUUCUCUCACCCUCCAGGAGUGGGAUUUGUGCCAGACACCAGCUAGACAAGACCAGCUGCUGCUUCUAUGUUUUGUGGACAUGAUUGGCUGUAGCUUUUGAUCAGGACACUGUUCCUAAUGAAGUCUGACCGGCAUCAUUUAGACAGGAAUGAAUGACAGCUGAUGUGCAGGAUUUUCCUUGAUUGGCAGCAUUUGAAACUGGUAACCAGAGGAGGUGAGGGGAGGGAGAGAAGCCAGUUCUGACUGACAAGAGCUUAUCUUUAUUUAAUCUACCUCCAAGACCCCGAAGCUGAAAAUUUAGGCAACUGAAAGAAAGGAAGACACAAUUGUGCAACAUAAUUAAAGAUUCUUGACAAAAACAUACUUAAAAAUGUGUUCCAUGGGAGAGCAGUGAAGAGAGCCCAGGUGUGAGGUUUAACACUGCUCCCUUGAUGUGAAAAAGAGAGAGCUUUUGUGAGCAGAUCGUUAAUUUUUAUCCAAAAUUAAAAAGAGUGAUGGAAUUUUAAAUAAUUUUGGCUAUAAGAAAUUCUGGUUCUAGUUACCAUUUCUUUGACUUGCCAACCUGCUUGGAAAGGUUUCCUGUGCAGAGGCCAGAAGUGGGUAUAGAAUGUCAUUGUUCAGUCGUUCAGUCUCGUCCAACUCUUUGCGGCCCCAUGGACUGCAACACACCAGGCUUCUCUGUCCUUCACAGUCUCUUGGAGUUUGCUCAGAUUCAUGUCCAUUGAAUUGGUGAUGCCGUCCAGUCACCUCAUCCUCUGUCAUCCCCUUCUCCUGCCCUCAGUCUUUCCCAGCAUCAGGGUCUUUCCCAAUGAAUUGGUAUUAGAAUAGAGGCGAUCACUGAGGACUUGAGUCUUCAGUGUUUGUGAGUUUUGAGAAAGGAUGACAAGUAGGAAUUUUAGACUUGUUUCCUGAGGACUCGUGUGUGAUUUGCUGAGAGCUGAUUGCUUGUGUGCUGGUAAUGUUUUACAACUGGUUUGGGAGCUUGGCAUCCGGGUUCAGAUCCUGACACCACCACUUCCCCCAUGUUUGUGUUACUCCAUUUCAUCAUCCCCUGAAAUUUAAAAACAAUUUUAAAAAAAAUUUAUUUAUUUGGCUGUGUCAGAUCAGUUGCAGCAUGUGGGAUGUUCAUUGUGUUAUGCGAGAUCUUUCCUUGUGGUCCUUGGACUCUCUAGUUGCAGUGAGUAGGCUUAGUUGCCGUGAGGCAGGUGGGAUCUUAGUUUCCCGACCAGGGAACUAAGAUCAAACCCAUGUUUCCUGCAUUGCAAGGCGUAUUCUUAAUCACUGGACCACCAGGAAGGUCCCACUUGUUUUUUUUUAAAGAUUUACAUUUGUACUCUGCUAGUAGUUUCCCUUGAAAAGUUCAUCCAUACCUUAAUCACCCUGGAUAAUGCUAGUAAGCAAUCUUAAAGUCUGAUCACUUCUCUCCCUGCAGUAAGUCUGAUAUUUUAGUUUUACCUUUUUUUAAACACACAAAUUAGAUGUUGCUAUCCUUUUCACAGGUAGUGCUUUAGAUUUACCUAUAUGGUUACCAGUGUCUUUGUUCACAAUUUCUUUAAUAUUUUUUAGUGAGUGUCUAUUAGUAGUAUAUACUCGUUUUUAUUUAUCGAAGAUAUCUUUAUUUUGCCCUAUAUUUUGAGAGGAACUUUGGCCACAUGACUCUAGGUGGAAAGUUGCUUUUUUUCUUUUUACCUUGUAGAACUGUUAUGAAGAUUACCUGAAUUCAUAUCUAAAGUCCCUAGCAUGGUGCCUGGCUUGUUUGCUUGUUAAAUAACAGUGGCUCUUGCAUUCUCAGAAAAAUAUUGAAACAAAUUUGAGACAAUGUAGGUUUAGUUGGAAUAUCUAUACUUUUAUCCUUUUUUUUUCCUGUUAUUUCCUUAAAACUUGCAUUUUCACUAAGCUUCGGAUGGGAGUAGAUUUAAUAAGCAACAUUACUAGCUUAAAAGAUAAAGUUUGAUUCAGCUGUGGUUUCUGUCACUUGCUAGGUACAAGUACCCUUUGCAGGUUAUCUUACCUAAGAUUUGGGUUUAUUUAUUUUAUUUUUGCAUAUAGAGUGGUUAUCAUAGUACUGUUUCUCAGGGUUACUAUGAAAAUUGCAUGAGAAUACACGUAAAACUCUUAAUAAAGCCUCACAUAGUAGGUAGUUAAAAAUGUUAACUAAUAGUUCCCUGUGAACCACUUUUAUGAUUUUUACGUACAGAUGUUAUUGACUUUUCUUUUUUUCUGCUCUGCCUCUGUUUUUAUUUCCUAUUCCCCACAUCCAAGAAAACAAGGUGUGUCUGCGCAUGACUUUCUGUUCUGCGGACUAGGAGGGCCUUCUGUGGGCUGGUGUCUCUGGCUUGGAGGCUGCACUUUGAUACUUGCUUGUCCUUAGUGGGAAAAUAGCUUUCCAUGCUUAGUGUUUUGCUACCUGUAAGACCCUCGUUGACUUAUCAAAAAAUUAUAUGCUCUGGUUUUACUUGUGAAAGUGAAAUUACUUAACCACUCAGCACCUCUGUUUCCUCAUCUGUAAUAUGGAAAUAGUGACCCUUCCUUCCUCAUAGGAUUGAUGUGAGGACUUGAUGCAUGUAAAGAUCUUAAGUGCCGGCAUAAAAGAAGUGCUAAUACUCAAGCUUUCACCAUCCUCGCUGUUGUCACUACUCCCUUCUGUGCCAUACGUUUGGCUUUUGUAUAAACAAAUGCUUGUGUGGUAUAUUUUUGUCCUUUACCUGUUUAAUCUCAGUGCAUGUGUAUUAAGCUUUCACAUGUCACCUUUCUCAUUUGUUCCUUGAUAACGUUUUCAUGGGUUAGGUAGGACAUAUGUUUUUUCAAUUUUAUUUUCACAUGCAGUAAAAGGCACCCAUUUUAAGUAUACAGUCCUGAUUUUAGAAUCGAAUCACCACCACAGUCAAGAUACAACAUUUCUAUUGCAGCCAUGAAUUCCCUCAUUCACACUUACUCUCCCAUUCUUACACCAGGGUCUGGGCACCACUGAUCUGUUUUGUGCCACUGUAGAUUAAGGUUUUCUUCAGUCUUUAUAUCAGUGGAAUUGUAUGUUAUGUACUCUUUUGUGUUUGGCUUCCUUCACUCAGAGUAGUUAUUUUGGGGUUGGCCCGUGGUUUUGGUGCGGUCUGGGCCUUCUUACCGCUCUGUGCUGUCCCGUUCGUUGCAGGGAUGCACUGUAAUGUGUUUAGCCAUUCUCCUGUUGAUGCUUUGGGCUUGUGUCCAGUUUGAAGCUGUUAUGAAUAAAGCUGCUGCGAACGUUUAUGUACAGUUCUUUGUGUCGAUAUGUUUUUCAGCUUUCCUGAGUACCAGUGUAGGAGUGGAGUUUACUGAUAUGAAGGGCUUAGAGUCAGAGUCACACAGAAAGGCACCAUGCCUGGGUUAGCAGUUGAUUAUUCAUCAGCUGACUUCUCUUUUAGGAUCCAUUCCAUUGGACCAGUGAUUUUCAUGCUUGUAGAGCACCAGGACUCUUUCAGAUGAAAUACUGCCCAAAAUACCCAUUGAAAACAGAUGAAAACGUUGUUGACAGACUCCUCAGAAAGUUCAAGUAGCCCUUUUUUGGCUGUUAACCUGCUGAGCACCCAUGCUCUUCUCUUGGAACCCCUUUGCAAAGUGCUGCACUCCCAAGGCUGUUUCUUGAGAGCAGAGUCUUGAGGUCCUUAAACAUUUCUUUUUCUUCUUCUUCUCUCUCUUUUAAUAUUUAUUUGUUUGGCUACUUUGGGCCUUAGUUGUGGCAUGUGGGAUCUUUACUUGCCAUAUGCGGGAUCUUUACUUGCCAUAUGCGAGAUCUAAUUCCAGGGAUCGAACCUGGGCCCCCUGCAUUAGACAUACAGAGUCUCUUAACAGUGGACCACCACAGAAGUCCCUCUUCUUCUCUUUUUAGUCCCAUUACCUUAGUUGUUUCAGAGCCAGUUACUGAGUAGUUUACUUCUUCUUUUUUGGUGUUUUCGAGGCAAGAAACUCUCAUUCUUUAAAAACACAAAACAAACCAAAAAACCCCGUGAAUGCACAGCGCAUAAGUUAAGGCUGUACAACUGGUGAGAUUAGAGACAUUACAACUUGCUUUGCUGUUCACCAGUGCUGAGUAUGUAUCUUCUUGACCCAAAGGGUCCUUCGGGGUAUGUAGGGUCAGAGAGGUCCAUUCAAACUCUUAGGCUAUUUACCUUUGUCACCCGCUACUGUUUAUAGAUGGAAGAGAUGCCAGUAUGUUCCAUUGCCUAUUCUAAAGCAGUGAGUCUCAUGUUAUCAGAGCCCAGGUUAUGAAAUUUGAAAUGCACUUUGCCUCCCUUGCACUGUUAAAACUGCAUCAGAGCAUUUUAAUCAACUUGCUUUCAUUGAAGUGUACAAUUUUUCUUCUCAUUACAUCUGCAAGCUCUCAAGUUUAGAGACAUGAUCUCCUUGGCUAGACUAAUAUUGCUUGGUCAUUCUUGCAUGCAAAUUUAAAAUUUAAUAUCUUGCUGCAGGUCUGUUGAGUUUUAUGCAAAUUUCAGUAUAGAUUAUAUUUUGGAGCUGUAAAUUAGAAAUUACAUUUGGGGGUAGUAAUAUUUGUGUGGGCUUAGAAAAAGUAAUCUUACAUUUUGCAUGGUACAUGGCAUUUCUUCUGAAGAAAUGGGAUUUUUGAGUAUUUUCUGUGGGUUUAGAAGUUGUUUUGUCCAGUUGUGUUACUGGUAAUAAAAAGACAAAAACUAUGCCAGUUCUUAUAUCAACAUUUAAAAAAGUAAUUAUUUUUUUUACUGCAGUGGGCCUUUGUUGCUGCAUGGGCUUUCUCUAAGCGUGGCAAGUGGGGGCUACUCUGUAGUUGCGGUGUGCAGGGCUCUCAUUGCAAUCUCUUCUUUUGUUCCAGAGCGUGGGCUUUAGGGCACGCAGCCUUCAAUAGCUGUGGUGUACAGACUCAGUUGCUUCACAACAUGUGGGAUCUUCCUGGACCAGGAAUUGAACCUGUGUCGCAUGCAUUGCAAGGCUGAUUCUUAACCACUGGACCACCAGUUGUUGUUGUUCAGUUGUUUUCAACUCUUUGCGACCCCAUGUCCGCAUUAACAUUUUUUUAAAAUGACAUUUGGCUAUUUGGGAUAGCCAUUUGGGAUUAACAGUGUUCUCUCAUUUCUUCCCCCCCCCCUUUUUUUUUAUUUUUUGGCUAUCAAAUCCAAGUUUAUUGGGGUACUUGGUGGUUUUUUUUUUUUUUUUAAUUUUAUUUUAUUUUUAAACUUUACAAAAUUGUAUUAGUUUUGCCAAAUAUCAAAAUGAAUCCGCCACAGGUAUACAUGUGUUCCCCAUCCUGAACCCUCCUCCCUCCUCCCUCCCCAUACCAUCCCUCUGGGUCGUCCCAGUGCACUAGCCCCAAGCAUCCAGUAUCUUCAUUGAAUAUGUGGUUAUGCACCUGCCUUUCCUCUUAGGUUUGAUAUUACAUCAGCAAACAAGACAGUGUCUGCCCUUGUGAAGGUUACCUUCUAACUGGGAGAAACAAGUCACAGCAGAUAAAUAAAUAUUUGUUAUGUCUGAUAGUGAUGCAUUCUAUGGAGAAAAAACAACAGGAUUUGGGAGUGAGUGAGUGCUGGGAGUGGGGUGUGGGGUCAGGGAAGGCCUCCCCAUAAAGUGAUGUUUAUGCAGAGACUUGAUGAGGAAAGGAGGUGAGCUGUGGAAUUUUUCUUAGGAGAAUGACAGGAAGAGAGACUGCUAAGCACUAAUGUCCCAGGUGAGGACUUAAUGCCGUGUUUGAGGAGCAGCAAGGAUGCCGCUGUGGCUGGGGCAGAGUGGGAGGUGGAAGUGGAGCAGAGAGGCAGGCAGGAGGAGAAUCCAGGGAGGGGUUGGUGGCAGAAUCGGGGGCAGGUGUCGUGGAUCACAUAGGGCCUUGUAGGUACUGUGGGAACUUGGGCUUUUGUUGAGUGAGACCCAGAGCUGUGCUGGGGAAGCAUUAAGUAGGUGCUGACCGCUGUGUUGACAAUGGAGUUUAUGGGGGCAAAGACAAAUUUUCAGAUGAUGGCAAUGGGACACCAACUUCAGCCAUUGUAAAUCUGUGCCUUUGGAGCUGAAGAGCCUGGGCAGAAGAGCCUGACAUUGUUGAGCAUUCUCAAGAUUCUUUACCUGUGGCAGAAGCCUAAGCAUAUGUAUUGUUGGUGCCAAGCAGUCUAUGUUUUAACAAGUCUUUCAGGUGACUGAUGUACUUGUUAAGAAUAAAUGCUGGGUCUCCCCCCACCCCCUUCCACCCUGAGUUUCUGAUUCAGGAGGUUAGGGGUGGGGCCUAAUAAUUUGCAUUGUUUAUACCUUCUUGUUCCUAGGUGAUGUCAGUGCUGCUAGUCCAAGGACCACACUUUGAGAUCCAUUGCUCUAGUGGAUAGGAAUCAAUAUAUUAUUAUCUGGGAAGUUAACUUUCUGCACUUCUGCCUUGCAAAAUAAUGGUUAGAAGCCUUGGCUUUGAGCCUCACUACCUGGGUUUGACUCCCAGCUUGUCCUUGUAUUGUGACCUUGGAUAGGGCAUUUAAAAUGGUGCCUUACACAUGAUAAGUUCUUAGCAAAGGCUGGCUAUUAUAAAAUGAUAUGUAAGUCUAUAUAGAAUGAUGUGGUACAAACAAAACGUGAAUAAUUUGCCAAAUGUAAGCUCUAGAAUUAGCAUUAUAAGCAUAAUCUUGUUUUUUUUUUUUUCCCCCAGCAUGACCUGCAGUAUACAGUUGUCCCUCGAUAUCCAUGGGAGAUUGUUUCUAGGACCGCCCCCUGCCCCGUCGCCCCCCAUUUGGAUACCCAAAUCCAUGUGUGUUCGUCACCCAUUCGUAUCUGUGGGUUCUGCAUUUGUGAAUACUGAGGGCCACCUUUAUUAAUAGUUUUGUUUUAUACACAGGGAAGUGACUUACUCAUAAUCAUGCAACUAGUUAGUAGCAAAGAUGGAUUUAAAAUUCGGGUGUCUCUGGCUUCAUAGCCUGAGAAUUACCACAGCGUGUGUUUCCUGGGAGCACUGAAUUGGUCUCACACAUACUCAGGUUUAAAUCUGAGUCUUCCCAUUUAGUAUGCUUGUGUGUGUGUGUGUGUGUGUGUGUGUGAGAGAGAGAGAGAGAGAGAGAGAGAGAGAGAGAGAGAGAGAGAGAGACACUCAGAGAGAGGUUUAGAUAGAGAGAAAGUGAAAGAUAGCAUUUGUGUUAAUUUUCUGUAUCUUUGUUAAGACACAUUUUCUUUCUAUAAAAUUGGGAUAAAGUAUGUAUACCUACCAGGGUUUCUGUACUAAGUAUAGAUGGAUUAUCAUUGUUGGUUGCUUUCUUUCCUAAUUAAAAACCUUCACACACACACAUACACACAGAAGUCGCUCAGUCAUGUCCGACUCUUUGCGACCCCAUGGACUGUAGCCCACCAGGCUCCUCGUUCCAUGGGAUUUUCCAGGCAUGAAUACUGGAGUGGGUUGCCAUUUCCUUCUCCAAAAAAAAAAAAACAAAAAACAAAAAACCCCUUCACAGCCAACUCCAAUCUAAUAAGAUGUACUUCUGGGAUUUUUCUUAGAGUUCCUUCUAAGAAUGGGCUUUUCCUAAUAUGAACCUUGAAUUUUAUGGACAGGAUUCUUGUCAUCAGGAUCUCAGCUUGGGAGGAAGAGAUCGUGUUCCCUUUAAAAACAUCCUUCUGUGAUUGGGGUUUUAGAGUCCUUAUCUCAGGAAGUUCACACACUGUUAGGAAGAAAGCUUUCUGAGAUAAGGCAUUUGUGCAGAGGAAUGAAGUAGGUGGGAAGGUAGAUGUGUGGGGAGACCACAUGUCUAAUUUUUAAAAAAGCUAGUGUCUCAUGGUGGUUUGCAAAAGUGAAAAGUGUUACAUAAAAGUCACAUUUAACAGUAAUCAUUGUUAUUGUCUUAAAAUCCAAGUCAUCCAUGGAUCAGUUGUAUGGCAGCCUCAUCUUUUGAAGACCUGGUUAUAAAAUUGAAAAAGCCAUUGAUUGACAACCAGCUGUCACAAAGCUCUUGAACUUUUACUUCUCUUGUAGCAGUAACUGGUGAAGCCCUUGGUCCCUAGGGAUUGAAAGAGAGCAUUUAUAUUCAGAAGAUACCUAGACAAUACAGGGAACUCUUAUUGACCGCAGGGGAAGGAGAAACAAUAGCUAUUAAAAGAAUGGCCUUUGAGCCAACCAGGUGGCCCCAACUGUCCUGGGAGUCCCCAAGGCUAGCUUUGUAUAACAGAUUGAGUCAGGUUCUUAGAGAAAAUUAUGUCAUCCGAAAGAGAAAGCUUAUUCUUGGUAUCUUUUUCAGAAUAGAGGGAAAUGUGAGUGUAUCAGAGUUAUUGUCACAAGUUUACUUUCAGUAAAACAGUUUGCUUAGAGGUAAGUGCAAGAUAUUUUGGAAAAAAAUCACGGAUGCGGCAUAAAUUCCUUGUUCCUCAGUGAUGUGAUUAUGUGGCCAGGGAGGAGUGGGGAUGUGGUGGGAAGAACAUGGGCCUUGGUGACAGGCGCUUGACUAGAAGCAGACUCACCUCAGAUGUCUCUGAGCCCCAGAUUACCCAUUUGUAAAUGGGAAUAUCUUUUAGGAUUAAGUGAGUGGCCUGUGUGGUGUACCUAGUGUGUACUUAGUCCAGUACUUGAUAAAUAGUGAUGAGGUGGGUACAUUUGGGGCAUCUAAAGGUCAGUGAGGAUGAUUCAGGAUGCACUUCCUAUUUACUGACUCAGAUUCCUGUGGGGAUGCCCGCUCCAACAGCUUUAUGAGAUCUAAUUCACAUACAGUACAAUUCACCUAUUUAAAGCAGGGGUCCCCAACCUGUGGGCCACAGAUCAGUACCUCCUGUCAGUUCAGUGGUGACAUUAGAUUAGAAAUAAA